UACGUAGGUGGCGAGCGUUGUCCGGAAUUACUGGGGGUAAAGCGCGUGUAGGCGGGAGGCCAAGUCUGUGGUGAAAUCACUCGGCUUAACUGGGCGGGGUCCAUGGAAACUGGUCACCUGGAGGUCGGUAGAGGCAAGUGGAAUUCCCGGUGUAGUGGUGAAAUGCGUAGAGAUCGGGAGGAACACCAGUGGCGAAGGCGGCUUGCUGGGCCGGACCUGACGCUGAGACGCGAAGGCGUGGGGAGCGAACGGG
rnacentral:rRNA from 1 species